rnacentral:rRNA from 1 species
UACGUAGGGCGCAAGCGUUGUCCGGAAUUAUUGGGCGUAAAGAGCUCGUAGGCGGUUUGUCGCGUCUGCUGUGAAAACCUGAGGCUCAACCUCGGGCUUGCAGUGGGUACGGGCAGACUAGAGUGCGGUAGGGGUGACUGGAAUUCCUGGUGUAGCGGUGGAAUGCGCAGAUAUCAGGGAGGAACACCGAUGGCGAAAGGC